rnacentral:rRNA from 2 species
CAUGUCCUUUAGAGUUUAAUUUAAGGUUUGGUCUGCUCAAUGAAAAUUUUAAAUUGCCGCAGUAUUUUAACUGUGCGAAGGUAGCAUAAUAAUUAGUUUCUUAGUUGGAAGCUGGAAUGAAUGAUUGGACGAGAAAAUUACUGUCUCUUGAGAAAGGUUUAUUGAAUUUUAUUAUUAAGUUAAAAAGCUUAAAUUUAAAUAAAAGACGAGAAGACCCUAUAGAGUUUUAUACUUAAAGUUUAUUAAUUUUUAGUAAGUUUCUUGAAUUUUAAUUAUUUAGUUGGGGUGACUUAAAGAUUGAAUUAAUUCUUUAAAUAUUUAAUUAUUGAUAAGUAAUUUUUAAAUCUAGUUUUUUAAAUUUAAAAUUAAUUACCUUAGGGAUAACAGCGUAAUUUUUCUUUAAAGCUCAAAUUGAAAGAAGAUUUUGCGACCUCGAUGUUGGAUUAAAAUUAAUUUUUGGUGCAGUAACUAAAAAAUUAGGUCUGUUCGACCUUUAAAAUUUUACAUGAUCUGAGUUUAAACCGGUGUAAGCCAGGUUGGAUUCUAUCUUUAUUUUUUUUAUAUAUUUUAGUACGAAAGGACCAAAUAUGUAUUAUAUUAUAAUUA